rnacentral:rRNA from 1 species
GAGUUUGAUCCUGGCUCAGAACGAACGCUGGCGGCAUGCCUAACACAUGCAAGUCGAACGAGAUCUUCGGAUCUAGUGGCGCACGGGUGCGUAACGCGUGGGAAUCUGCCCCUUGCUUCGGGAAUAACAGUGAGAAAUUGCUGCUAAUACCGGAUGAUGUCUUCGGACCAAAGAUUUAUCGGCAAGGGAUGAGCCCGCGUAGGAUUAGGUAGUUGGUGGGGUAAUGGCCUACCAAGCCGACGAUCCUUAGCUGGUCUGAGAGGAUGAUCAGCCACACUGGGACUGAGACACGGCCCAGACUCCUACGGGAGGCAGCAGUGGGGAAUAUUGGACAAUGGGGGAAAACCCUGAUCCAGCAAUGCCGCGUGAGUGAUGAAGGCCUUAGGGUUGUAAAGCUCUUUUACCAGGGAUGAUAAUGACAGUACCUGGAGAAUAAGCUCCGGCUAACUCCGUG